rnacentral:rRNA from 1 species
AUUGAACGCUGGCGGCAUGCCUUACACAUGCAAGUCGAACGGCAGCACGGGAGCAAUCCUGGUGGCGAGUGGCGAACGGGUGAGUAAUAUAUCGGAACGUGCCCAGUCGUGGGGAUAACGUAGCGAAAGCUACGCUAAUACCGCAUACGAUCUAUGGAUGAAAGCGGGGGAGUCGCAAGACCUCGCGCGAUUGGAGCGGCCGAUAUCAGAUUAGGUAGUUGGUGAGGUAAAGGACUCACCAAGCCGACGAUCUGUAGCUGGUCUGAGAGGACGACCAGCCACACUGGGACUGAGACACGGCCCAGACUCCUACGGGAGGCAGCAGUGGGGGAAUUUUUGGACAAUGGGCGGCAAGCCUGAUCCAGCAAUGCCGCCGUGCAGGAUGAAGG